UAAAAUUAGCCAACCUUUACUUCUUGUACAAUGUUUUAAUUCCUAGACAAAAUCACAAUAUGUUGGAUGAUAAAGAGAAGUUUAGGAAUUAUCCUUGGGGAAGGUUGUGCUUUAGUCUUACAAAGCAAUUCAUUCAAAAUGCGGUGAAAUCCAAAAGAAAGUCUAAGAACUCAGAAACAGAAUCUAAAGCGUAUGCCUUUCUACAAGGCUUCCCUAUGGUUCUAGCUUACUGGGCAUACGAAAUACCUCCUCAACUUGCUAGCGGGUAUGUGACAAGAAUAGGGAAAGGGUGUCCAAGAAUAUUAAAUUGGGAAUCCAACUCGAUUGGCAAGAUCUUGAAGAUAACAUCUUUCUGGAAAAAAAGCUAUCUGUGGUCCCCAUUGUUGCAUCAGAAGAAGAAAUGGAAUCUGAGUACUUCAGAUAUUUUUUGGAAUUAGAAAAUGAUAGAUUGGAUGAAUAAGCAUGUGCUAUGAAGGACAAAAAUAUGGCAUAAAGAAUAUCUUCUUUACAUGAAGAUAUUAAAGAUUUAAAAAAACAACACAAAGAAGAUUUAGACUGCUUGAAGAAGGGACAAGAGAAGAUUGUUCGUUUGUUACUUUCACCGACAGAAGUGGUAAAUCAAAGACUUUCGUACAAAUGUGAAAAUGAAAAAAAAUCUCAAGAGCCCUUGGAAAAGAAUCCUCCUCCAUCAAUAAGUUUAGAAAUGAUUGAUGCUGAUGUUGAUAAAGAGAAAGAGAUUGAAGAUAACGAGGAAACCGAGGAAGAUGAUAAUCAUCGUGAAAAUAAGUCAAAAAUGGUGCAUGACACAUCAAACAAAGUGAAG